rnacentral:rRNA from 1 species
UUGACGGGGGAGCACCACAACGGGUGGAGCUUGCGGUUUAAUUGGAUUCAACGCCGGAAAUCUUACCGGGACCGACAGCAAUAUGAAGGCCAGGCUGAAGACUUUGCCGGAUUAGCUGAGAGGUGGUGCAUGGCCGUCGUCAGUUCGUACUGUGAAGCAUCCUGUUAAGUCAGGCAACGAGCGAGACCCACGCCCACAGUUGCCAGCGUACUCUCUGGAGUGACGGGUACACUGUGGGGACCGCCGCUGCUAAAGCGGAGGAAGGAAUGGGCAACGGUAGGUCAGUAUGCCCCGAAUAUCCCGGGCUACACGCGAGCUACAAUGGUUGGUACAAUGGGUAUCUACCCCGAAAGAGGACGGGAAUCUCCUAAAACCAAUCUUAGUUCGGAUUGAGGGCUGCAACUCGCCCUCAUGAAGCUGGAAUCCGUAGUAAUCGCGUUUCAACAGAACGCGGUGAAUACGUCCCUGCUCCUU